rnacentral:rRNA from 1 species
UUGAUCCUGGCUCAGAAUCAACGCUGGCGGCGUGCCUAACACAUGCAAGUCGAACGCGAAAGCCCCGCAAGGGGUAAGUAGAGUGGCAAACGGGUGAGUUACACGUGGGUGACCUGCCUUCGAGUGGGGGAUAACGUCCCGAAAGGGACUCUAAUACCGCAUAACAUCCUGCCUUUGAAGAGGUGGACAUCAAAGCUGGUGAUCGCAAGACCUAGCGCUUGAAGAGGGGCCCGCGCCUGAUUAGCUAGUUGGUGGGGUAAUGGCUCACCAAGGCAACGAUCAGUAUCCGGCCUGAGAGGUCGGACGGACACACUGGGACUGAGACACGGCCCAGACUCCUACGGGAGGCUGCAGUGGGGAAUUGUUCGCAAUGGGCGCAAGCCUGACGACGCAACGCCGUGUGGAGGAUGAAGACCUUCGGGUCGUAAACUCCUUUCGAUCGAGACGAAUGGCCUCCGGGUGAAUACCCCGGAGGAGUGACGGUACCGAGAGAAGAAGCUCCGGCUAACUCCGUGCCAGCAGCCGCGGUAAUAAGGU